rnacentral:rRNA from 1 species
UACGUAGGGGGCAAGCGUUGUCCGGAUUUAUUGGGCGUAAAGAGCGUGUAGGCGGCUUCACAGGUCCGCUGUGAAAACUCGAGGCUCAACCUCGAGAUGUCGGCGGAAACCGUCUGGCUAGAGUCCGGAAGAGGAGAGUGGAAUUCCUGGUGUAGCGGUGAAAUGCGCAGAUAUCAGGAAGAACACCUAUGGCGAAGGCAGCUCUCUGGGACGGUACUGACGCUGAGACGCGAAAGCGUGGGGAGCGAACAGG